rnacentral:rRNA from 1 species
CCAGACUCCUACGGGAGGCAGCAGUGAGGAAUAUUGGUCAAUGGGCGAGAGCCUGAACCAGCCAAGUCGCGUGAAGGAUGACGGCCCUACGGGUUGUAAACUUCUUUUGUCAGGGAGCAAUUGGGUCCACGCGUGGGCUUAGCGAGAGUACCUGAAGAAAAAGCAUCGGCUAACUCCGUGCCAGCAGCCGCGGUAAUACGUAGGGGGCAAGCGUUAUCCGGAUUUACUGGGUGUAAAGGGAGCGUAGACGGUGCAGCAAGUCUGAUGUGAAAGGUCGGGGCCCAACCCCGGGACUGCAUUGGAAACUGUUGAACUGGAGUACAGGAGAGGUAAGCGGAAUUCCUAGUGUAGCGGUGAAAUGCGUAGAUAUUAGGAGGAACACCAGUGGCGAAGGCGGCUUACUGGACUGUAACUGACGUUGAGGCUCGAAAGCGUGGGGAGCAAACAGGAUUAGAUACCCCAGUAC